rnacentral:rRNA from 1 species
GACGAACGCUGGCGGCGUGCUUAACACAUGCAAGUCGAACGGGCCUUGUCUCCUUUUUUUUUGGGGGUGGGGGUAGUGGCGGACGGGUGAGUAACACGUGAGUAACCUGCCCCUCACGUCUGGAUAACCGCUUGGGAGGUUGGCUAAUACGGGGUCUUCUGGCCUGCUCGCGUGGGUGGGUUUUGUAGGAUUCGGGCGGUGGGCUUGCGUUGGUUGGGGUUGUGCUGGCGGCCUUUCAGCUUGUUGGUGGGGUGAUGGCCUGGCAAGGGGUUGUCGGGUAGCCGGGCUGAGAGGGUGAGCGGGCACGCUGGGGCUGCGAGACGGCUCGGGCCUGUAAGGGAGGCAGCAGUGGGGAAUAUUGCAGAAGGGGCGAAAGCCUGAUGCAGCGACGCCGCGUGAGGGAGGGAGGCCUUCGGGUUGAGAACCUCUUUCGCGAGUGAAGAAGGUCCUGCUCUUUGUGGUGGGGUUGACGGGAGCUGGGGUAAUGAAGCGCCGGCUAACUACGUG